GACGAACGCUGGCGGCGUGCUUAACACAUGCAAGUCGAACGAAGAGCGAUGGAAGCUUGCUUCUAUCAAUCUUAGUGGCGAACGGGUGAGUAACGCGUAAUCAACCUGCCCUUCAGAGGGGGACAACAGUUGGAAACGACUGCUAAUACCGCAUACGAUCUAAUCUCGGCAUCGAGGAUAGAUGAAAGGUGGCCUCUACAUGUAAGCUAUCACUGAAGGAGGGGAUUGCGUCUGAUUAGCUAGUUGGAGGGGUAACGGCCCACCAAGGCGAUGAUCAGUAGGCGGGCUGGGAGGAUGAACGGGCAAAAUGGGACUGAGACACGGCCCAGAAUCCUAAGGGAGGCAGCAGGGGGGAAACUUCCGAAAUAGACGAAAGUCUGACGGAGCAACGCCGCGUGGGCGAUGACGGCCUUCGGGUUGGAAAGCUCGGUUAAUCGGGACGAAAGGCCUUCUUGCGAAUAGUGAGAAGGAUUGACGGUACCGGAAUAGAAAGCCACGGCUAACUACGUG
rnacentral:rRNA from 1 species